rnacentral:tRNA from 1 species
UCCCUGGUGGUCCAGUGGUUAAGACUCUGCACUCCCAAUGCAGGGGGCAUGGGUUUGAUCCUCAGUCUGGGGA